rnacentral:rRNA from 1 species
UACUAGAGUAGCACUCGCAUAUCAAUAAGCGGAGGAAAAGAAACUAACAAGGAUUCCCCUAGUAACGGCGAGUGAAGCGGGAAGAGCUCAAAUUUGAAAUCUUAAAGGGUUUCCCUUUACGAAUUGUAGUUUAAAGAAGUGUUUUCUGUUGAGGUUUUGGUAAAAGUUCUUUGGAAUAGGACAUCAUAGAGGGUGAGAAUCCCGUAUUUGACCUUUACUUUCAACUUUGUGAUACACUUUCAAAGAGUCGGAUUGUUUGGGAAUGCAGUCCAAAAUGGGUGGUAAAUUUCAUCUAAAGCUAAAUAUUGGCGAGAGACCGAUAGCGAACAAGUACCGUGAGGGAAAGAUGAAAAGAACUUUGAAAAGAGAGUUAAACAGUACGUGAAAUUGUCAAAAGGGAAGCGUUUGACACCAGUGUUGUUUUUCUGAAAAUCAAUUAAAGAACUGUUUAUGCUAAGCUGUUUAGACUUUAUCAGCUAAUCUGUUUAGUUUUGAGCUUUUCUUUAAUGCACUUUUCAGUUAACAAGUCAACAUCAAUUUCUUUUGCUGUAAAAAAGCUUGAGGAAGGUGGCUUGGGAUUCGUCUUAAGUGUUUAUAGCCUCUUGCCUAUGCAGUCGGAGAGAUUGAGGUCUGCAGCGUAGAUCCUUCGGGGCUAAAUGCAUUUGUGCUAAGUUAUAGCAUUUUAUAGACAACUUGUUGACUAUGAUUUGUCUUGUGGCUUACUCGCUUAUGUUAUUUUACCUACGCUUAGGAUGUUGAGCGCAUGUCUCUCCU